GGCCUACCAUGGUGGUAACGGGUAACGGGGUGUUAGGGCACGACACCGGAGAGGGAGCCUGAGAAACGGCUACCACAUCCAAGGAUGGCAGCAGGCGCGCAAAUUACCCAAUCCCGACACGGGGAGGUAGUGACAAUAAAUAACAAUACGGGGUUCUUUAGGAUCUCGUAAUUGGAAUGAGUACAAUUUAAAUCUCUUAACGAGGAACAAUUGGAGGGCAAGUCUGGUGCCAGCAGCCGCGGUAAUUCCAGCUCCAAUAGCGUAUAUUAAAGUUGUUGCAGUUAAAAAGCUCGUAGUUGAAUUUCGGGGCCAGUAGGUUGGUCGUGCCACUGGUAUGUACUGGCCUUACUGGUCCCUCCCUCUUGUAGAACCGUGAUGCCAUUAAUUUGGUGUUGCGGGGAAACAGGACUGUUACUUUGAAAAAAUUAGAGUGCUUAAAGCAGGCUCGCGCUUGAAUACAUUAGCAUGGAAUAACGGAAUAGGACGAUCGAACCUAUUUUGUUGGUUUCUAGGAUCGACGUAAUGAUUAAUAGGGAUAGUUGGGGGCAUUAGUAUUCAAUUGUCAGAGGUGAAAUUCUUGGAUUUAUUGAAGACUAACUACUGCGAAAGCAUUUGCCAAGGAUGUUUUCAUUAAUCAAGAACGAAAGUUAGGGGAUCGAAGACGAUCAGAUACCGUCGUAGUCUUAACCAUAAACUAUGCCGACUAGGGAUCGGAUGAAGUUAAUUUUUUAAUGACUCAUUCGGCGCCUUACGGGAAACCAAAGUGUUUGGGUUC
rnacentral:rRNA from 1 species